rnacentral:rRNA from 1 species
CCCACGGGCGGCACCAGUGGGGAAUAUUGCACAAUGGGCGCAAGCCUGAUCCAGCCAUGCCGCGUGAGUGAUGAAGGCCCUAGGGUUGUAAAGCUCUUUCACCGGUGAAGAUAAUGACGGUAACCGGAGAAGAAGCCCCGGCUAACUUCGUGCCAGCAGCCGCGGUAAUACGAAGGGGGCUAGCGUUGUUCGGAUUCACUGGGCGUAAAGCGCACGUAGGCGGACUUUUAAGUCAGGGGUGAAAUCCCAGAGCUCAACUCUGGAACUGCCUUUGAUACUGGAAGUCUUGAGUAUGGUAGAGGUGAGUGGAAUUCCGAGUGUAGAGGUGAAAUUCGUAGAUAUUCGGAGGAACACCAGUGGCGAAGGCGGCUCACUGGACCAUUACUGACGCUGAGGUGCGAAAGCGUGGGGAGCAAACAGGAUUAGAUACCCUCGUAGUC